rnacentral:rRNA from 1 species
UACGGGGGGGCAAGCGUUGUUCGGAAUUACUGGGCGUAAAGGGCGCGUAGGCGGUUCGCUAAGUUGAAUGUGAAAACUCUGGGCUUAACCCAGAGCCUGCAUUCAAUACGGGCAGGCUAGAGUUCGGUAGGGGAGACUGGAAUUCCUGGUGUAGCGGUGAAAUGCGCAGAUAUCAGGAGGAACACCGGUGGCGAAGGCGGGUCUCUGGGCCGAUACUGACGCUGAGGUGCGAAAGCGUGGGGAGCAAACAGG